CAAUUUGGCAACUAAAACCAAAUAUGAGUAUUUGAUUGAUCAAAAUUACACACACACACACACACACACACACACACACACGCAUAUAUAUUUCUGGCUUCUCUAAUAAAAGUUUUUAUAACUGACCCUCACAGUAAGUCAUGCCACAAAGCCUAUCCAUGCUGUUUUUACUGUUGUUCUUCAAUCGAAUGACAACUUAAGAUUGACCCUACAGAAUCUAAGAUCACAAUUAGAUCACUCUUUAUUUUAUUCUUGCCCCCUCCUCUUACCUAUAUCCCUUCCAUAUCUUCUUUUUAAUUCUCUUUUUCCCUCUGCUUCCUUAUGCACCAGGAACACAAUUGUGUUACUCAUUCACUCAAUGAAUAUUUAUUAAGCACUAUGUACCAGGUAUUGUGCUAGGCACCAGCAAUACAGGAGAGAGCAAAAAUUGAACAAGUUCCUGGCCUUACAGAGCUCACACACAGUCCAGGGGAGCCAGACGUUAAUAA
rnacentral:lncRNA from 10 species